rnacentral:rRNA from 1 species
UACGAAGGGGGCUAGCGUUGCUCGGAAUUACUGGGCGUAAAGGGCGCGUAGGCGGAUAGUUUAGUCAGAGGUGAAAGCCCAGGGCUCAACCUUGGAACUGCCUUUGAUACUGGCUGUCUUGAGUUCGGGAGAGGUGAGUGGAAUGCCGAGUGUAGAGGUGAAAUUCGUAGAUAUUCGGCGGAACACCAGUGGCGAAGGCGACUCACUGGCCCGAUACUGACGCUGAGGCGCGAAAGCGUGGGGAGCAAACAGGG